AGUUCGCCGCUGCCUCCGUUGGAGUUCGCCACCGCCAUCGAGCUUCUCCUCCGUCGUAGACCUUGUAAUUUUCCGCCGAAUCCCCAUAAAAACCCUAGUUCUUCCUCCCAAAUCGAACCUCGCCGCCUCUCCUCCUCCUCAUCUUCGUCGGACACCUGAUUUGUAAGUCUCUUAACUCUCAAGUUCAUUCUCACAGCUCGAUCUACGGUUCUAGUCAUUUAAAUGCAGCUCCAAAGAGAUUUUUCUUUUCUGUCCGCGUUGCUCGAUGGUAGCCAUAAUCACCUGGUUAGAGUUGUCAUCUUGAUUGGUUGUGCAUGAUGUGUUUUUCAUUUUGUUACAGGCGGCGUUGGAAGCUUUUCAAAACGAUGUCUUGUCCCGUGUCACGCAGUCUCAAAGUACAGAGGACACUCCUAUAGAGCCUAACCGCAUGACCAGAGACGAGUGGAUGAAAGUUGUUGACGGAGCUUACGAUUUACAAUCAAGAAAGAAAGGAAGAGUGCCUCUGUCAAGUGCUAGAGUUAAGACACUCACCACCACCAAUAAGCCUAGCAGCCAAUCUGUGACCUCGACGCGACCAUGUGACACGUCAUACGUCGUGGGUAAGAUUGGAAAAUACUUGUUGAAGAAUGUUGAAAUUCCAUUGGCUUUAAGUUUUCUUCCCACUAUUAAGCAUGAGUUAGGCGGUGCACAAACAACUUGGGAUGUCGUUCAGCGACUCAUCGAUUCUCAACCCUUAAAGGACUUUCUUCCGCAACAUAUAUACGCAGAGAUUAUGGGGUUGGCAUUUGAUGAGCAUGCAGGUGCAAGUGGUGGAGAGGCUAGAGGAGGUACCGCCAUAGGAAGCAACAGUACGGUACGACCUUCUGAUGCAGCCGCCACCGAUGAUAGGGAUCACGAUGAUAGGGACCACGACUAUGAUGAGUGAGUGGUGAGUUAGACUUUUUUGUUACUUUUGAGGACUUUUGGAUCGUGUUGAACAUAUUAUGACCUCCGGAUUGUAUAUAUGUGUGAAUUGAUGAAUGAUGAAUGUUAAUGUUGUUGGAUUUGAAUCGGUGAAUGUAAAUGUGAAUAUUGUUGGAUGUGAAUCGAUGAAUGUAAAUGUGAAUAUUGUUGGAUGUGAAUCGAUGAAUGUGAACGUGAA